GGUGUGACCAGAGGCAUUGCAAUCCAUACAGUGAUACAUAUGGGAGUUGAGAAACAAUUUGCAGAAUCCCCUUAAUAUAUAGUCUAAAUUAUGCUGCUGCUUGGCUACUGCUGUUAGCUCUAACUGCAUCUACUUCAAGACAAGGAUCUUUCUUUCCGUCCUCAGAAAAAAAGACAACUAUUUUUUAAGGAAAUUCCAUCACAUUUUUCCAUUGCAGAGCUUUAAUACCAAACCAGAGAACAUACUAAUUUUUCAUAUGGGAGACAACAAGCGUGGUAAGGAAUUUAAUUUAGCACUGCCCAAAGUCUGGCACACUUUAAAUAAUUGAGCAGUAACUCCUCAGAGGGGUGCAGCAACAGACGAGCGCUUUUUUUUUUCCUUGAGCCCUCAUAGCACAAACACAUCAGUUAGGGAUGUGUUUUGUUAUAACAGAUUUUGUGUUCAGACAGCACGAAAGUCUUAGAAUGAAGGAGGUGAGUUGGUCUGCAUGUUGGAAUUGAUUAAAACAUAUCAUCUUUCUGUUAAGGAAAACACCAACUACAUUUGCUCAUCUGCACAACCUACACCCAGCUUAAGCAAAGACAAUCUAGACAGCAAAGGAGAAUUCCAAAUCGGAGAAUAAAUCUGUCAUCUUGCUCUUUCAAAUUUCACCCAGCCUCAAUUUGUUGAAGUACAGCUUCUCUAUCAGAAUUCCAGAACUGCCACCCUUCCAGAACAGCAGCACUCAAACACCUAUGGUACUGUUACAGAAGGAAAAAUUAGCACAGUAAAAAGGCAAUACAGGAGCAGAAAAGCAAAAGAACAAACGGGAAAGCAACGCUCACCCACUUCAGGAUCUAGGCUCACAGGGAAAAACUCCAGAAGGGAGGGAUCUCCAACCACAGAGAUCCUUCCCUGGCAGCAGUCAGCCCUUAAAUGCCAUCUAAGUGAGGUGCAGCCAGGCUCCACCCUUCCUGUCACACAGCUGAAUUGCCUUCACCUGUGCUCUCUGGGCUGACCAGGUCCUUUCCCCAGGUGAUCAAUCAGUGCUUCGGGCUGUGACUCAACAGUUACCAUACACACUCCCAGCAAAUUUAGUGUACAUUUUCACUUUUUAUUUUGUCAACACUUCAGGCAAGCAAUUAUCUUGUCUGUAUCAAGUUACCUGUCUUUAGAGAACUGUUUUUACGUAGGGUAAAAUACGAAGCUCACAAAGCAACAUUUUUCCAGCAGAGCUUGGUUGGGACUGGAUUAUUACCGCACUUUCUAAUCACCAUGAAGUCCAGUGCAAAGCAGACCAAUACUUCUACGGAAAGGUAAUGUUGUGAAUGCUUGUACACAAGUCCUGUGUCAGGGUGCUUUGUGCAUGCAGAAGAAGACCUGAACGCAGAACUAAGGAAGGAGACAGCUGCAGCUAAGAAGGGAAUAUUCCCUCAUCACUGUUCUCCCGCUUUACUUUGUGCGGGCAUCAGAAGUCUGCCCAAAAGGUGACAUCUCAGCAUACGCCUUUGCCACGGUGACUAUAAGGGUGGUCGAUCUCAACAACUGAAAUUUCAUGGAGAAAGCGGUUCCCAGAACAGAUUUGAACCAAUCAUAUGGGAGCAUCCCCAGAGGGUGAAAUCAUAAGAGGAUUUAAGAUGACAGUCUAUAAUUCAGACCAGGUAUGUGCGAACUGCGUGAGUUUUCCUGCCCUGUUUUCCCAAAAAUAGAAAGGGACACCAGAGAGACAAAUGUCAGGCCUUUGUUUUUUUUGGAACACACACUGGAACACAUGCACUCCUAGAAAGCUUAGGGCAAGCAAAAUACUUGCCAGGACCGUUGCCACAGAGAAUUUAGACUCUAAGGCAUAUUUAGUUUGUCAUACAUCAUUUAGUCUGACCAUUAUGUCAGAGAGAAGAGCACCAGUCCCAGAUCUGCAGCCCACCUCUUGAGGACCUCUGAAAUUGAAAAGUCUUCAUGCAUUUCCUUUGUCUGUUGGUUAUGUUCAGUUGCUGUCAGCAUAAAGUCUGGGAACAUAUUCCCUUUAGAUAACUACUGAAGCCCCAAUUGCUUUAGCAACUUGAAGUGCUUUAAGUUUCCGUCCAUACCUUUCAUAAGCCCUCUGGAAGCAAUUCCAUCCAUGCCUUUUCACAGUACAUAUGGCAGCAUAUUAUCCUUCUAGAGCUUAUGUUACAACCAGAGUCUGUAAUUCAUGCUUUGAAAUAUCAUUCCCAUUGGAGUUAUAUUUUUAGGUCAUCUUAAAAAUUAUGCCAGCACCAAACUAACUGAUCAAAAGGAAAAAAAAGACAACUUCAUCCAUCUCAGUCCAAUAACUAGCUGACUUCUGCCAUCCAUAGACAUUAUUGUGACAGUCACUAUAGGCAUCCCUAAGCUGAAUACCACAGGAAGGGCAUCUGUCCAAAGAUGAUGGAAAGAGCACUCUUAUUCAACCAUUCUCAGUAUUGCGCUGUUUUGACUGUGCUGUAUUCUAAGAAAACCACCACCUUCUUCCACCUCCCUCCAACUGCUCUGCAGCAAGCAGAUAAACAACUGCUUUCAAAGCAGCACUGCGUCUAUCUCACUAUUGUCACUGAAGAUGUUUCUACAGAAGAAACUAAACCUCUUUUAUUUGGAGACCAAACAUAUAUGUAUCACCUAGACUGGCAAAAUACUCAGGGCCACAAGUUAGGCUAUAAAAUAGGCAAAAAAUACAGCUAAUUGUUCAGAUUUCACAAGAAGCUUCCUAAUACAGGAUAAGAUACCACUCUAUGAGGAUUGGGUUGCAUAACACUACAAUAGGAUGGAAACUACCUGAUAAUAGUAGGACGAUAAAGUCUUUAGCUAGAGCAAACAAGGAGAAGCCCAAACGCAACAGCUGCAGACGUAACAAAGGAAAAGAGCUCUUACCUUUAAAAUACUUACAUAGUUGGAAGGGACAUCCAGCAAGAAAAACCCUUACUCCCCACUGCCAAUCCUUAAAUGAGGUCUGGGAAGGGGUGGAUCCUGGCUCCAGCCACUCAGGUCACUCACUUGCAUUGCACGCACCUGGGCUGGCCCCGCCUUCCCACCAGGUGCUCAAUCAGUAGUUGAGGCCCUGAUUUAGCAUUUCCAGUCAGGCUGAUACAGUUUCAGGGAUCAGAAAGCAAUGUUUUUCCCCCUAUAAAGACUUACGUCUCUGUAACAGUCAUCAAGGUCUCUAGUGGUGCAGGCGAGAAGGAAGCCGCGAUCACGGCCUAAGAUUUGAUGGAAAUGCCAUCUUGCAAGAACAUCACACAGAAAUUUCUCACUCCGCUCUCUUUAGCCAGCAGAUGCCACUAAAGGCCUGGUGUGAUCGUGCCUUCCAUUGCUCCUCUGUCCCACGGCUAUCUGCUUUGCUAUGUGCAACAGGGCUUACUCCGUGCAGAUCCAGGCUGGGCUGAUAAUACUGUCAAAAAUCACCGAGCCUUUGAAGGGAGGCUUUGAACUCUGAAGGCCAACCGUCCUGAGCGUUCAAAGCAUCUUAUAUAUUUAAACUUUACGUGGGGGAAGAAUGGAACUCAACACUUAUUUGACGGCAUAACAAUCUGUAGUUUCCUCCAUCUGCUUUCUGGAAGUGCAGGCUAAGAAUAUCCUGACACGUCGGUCUUGCGUAGACCGUUCACAACCCAGCAGUGAUUUUCCAGCAUGACAAAGUUAACUUGUUCUAUUCUUCAAAUGUGGAUAUAUUAAAAGCAGCAGUAAGUGGAAGUGAAAAAACCGCAUGAAUUCUCACUGCUUAAGUCAGAGUACUGGCUUUAUCUUGACACAUUUCUUUGAAUAAAAUAGCAACCUGAGGAGAAAGCACUCAUCAUUGACUAAUGUUUAUGAACAGGUCUUUCCUACAGGGAAACCUUUAGUCAGUUGCUACUAAAUAUCCAAGAUACCAGAACAGUCUGAGUUAGGAAUACCAAAUGUAAAACUGGAAGCUCGAUUUUAAAAAAGUAGGUUAUGUGCCAUUACUGGACAAGGGGUCUGUUAUUUAUCUAAAUUUCUAAAUAUAACUGCUCACCUGCAUACUCAAAACUCAAUCGAACAGUUCCUAUAGCCUGGCACCAUUAGCAAAAUGUAGAAAAAAUCAAUACAAUAGCUUUUCAGAUAUGGAAGCGCUGAUGAAGUGCACUCAGGGUUUAAGCUUUUUGUUGUUGUUGUUCAAUACCGAAAUUAAAAUUCAAAGUUCAAAUUCUUAUAUUAAAAUAGGAGCACGAGGACGUAAAUCCAGGGAGACAGCAGCAAAGCAUAGGAACAAAAAAUGAGAAAGAACCCUUCAGAAUUAUUCCUUUAUAUAUAAGUCUCCCUGGUAAGUCAGUCUAUGUUGAGAAAGGUGAUUAAAGCCAUCUGAUACGUACGCCUAUCUCUCCCUAUUCUCUCAUUCGCAACUCCAGCCCCUGUCCAAUAAACAUUCCCCGUCAGAACAAGCAAAACUAUGGAGUUACAUUAAGCAACAAAUUUCAAGUGGAGACAAAGAGGGGAGCUGAGAAGCUCAGUUUAAAGGCCAUAUUUACUCCCUGUUCAUUUUUGUCUCCGUUUUCCUUCCUAACCAGUCACAUAAUAGAAGUAUUUUCUGGAGACAUCGUUGUCAUCUGUUCCUCUCUGCUGUAUGUUUCGCAUGAGUAUUUGUUUUUUGUUGUUUUUUUUUGUUUGUUUUUUGUUUAUUUGCUUUUUUUUUUUUUUUACAAAUGCCUUGGUUUCCGAAAGCGUCCAAAACGCUGUUGCACAGUCACUCUUCCCAUGUUUUGUAAACCAUCUAAUUUAAAGAAAUAAAGGAACUCCGCUCUAUCCUUUGUCGAAGCACAUCCAUUACUGUAGGAAGGGCUGUACAUCAUUUGUUGGAAUCGCUCUAUUCCAACAAAUCAGCAAAAUAGCGAACAUAAGGAUUCGCUCCGUGAGGAGUCAUAGAUGUGGCUAGAGUCAGCGUGAGAUAAAAACAGUCAAAUGAUAAAGGAUGGUACUAAAGAAACAAAUGUCAGCGGUUUAAACGUGCUCAAUGGUAUGGCUGAAUCGUAUUUGGUAUCGAACUGCUCUCAAAGGGAGAACACUUAAAGGCACUUCUCAUGCCACAGCGAGGUCCGGUUGAUUUGUCAUGGCCACAACUUGUCAUAAGUUAAAAUUGCCUGAUCAAUGGAAACAGAACAAAUUGUCUUAUGUUGUUAAAAAAGGAUAGGCUGUGUUUAACUUUUCAAAAUGAGGAUGUCUGAAUUUGUUUUAUUCCUUUUUUAGAAAUAAAAAAUGAGACCGGGUUGAUAAACGGUAAUUUAUUCUUCCAUCAGUUUCUUCCUGAGAAAACACUUGCAGUUUAUUUUUUUUUUAGAUAGAUGUGCAGGCAGGCGAUCAAUCAGAGCUGAUGAACACACACACAAAACCCUACGAAGGAGUUUCCCUUCACUUGUAGAUUACCUUUGUCUUUCAGAAUUAGAAAAAUUCAUCAUUAACCAGUUUGAAGAUGCUACAGCCCAUUCAAAGAGGAAUUGCAGUCGGUGACGUUUUAGGUAGUUUUGCUUUAACAAGGAAUUACCGCAGCAAUUUGAAACGGAGCCGAGAAAACAUAGUUCAGAAGCUUGCUCCUAGCGCUCGUAUAGUCGUCAAUAAGACACGCUCUUUGCAAUUUAGGCAAUCCACUGUGAAACCAUCUUGCAUUUAUUAUACCAAAUUGCAGGUGUUUUCAUGAGAAAGUUUAGAUAUAUCAGUAGUUUAAAAGUAGCUGCGGGCAAUAGCCGUCACAGACAUUCCACGCCAACAUUUCUUUCAAGACCUUGUCAUUAUGACUGCGGAGUCAGAGGGACUGUUUUCUACUCGUCCACACAGCUGCAUUCAGGGCAGAGACAGAAAGCAUACAGCGAGGCCUCCAAAAACGGAGGCUGGGGAUGUUCUUUGGAAGGGUGUCGGAAGUGAUCCGUUCAAAUCACGUGCAAUUAUUUGACUUAUUAAUGAAUUCAACAAUGACGUGCGAAGAGAAAGCGCAUAACAAACUGUACCGAAGUGCAUUUUCAGUCCCUAAGUCAGAUCUAGAGCCCAAGCGUCUAACCGUCAGGAUCCCCAGCCGGUCCGAGCGAGCCCUGCCCGCGCUAACGAGGCAACGACUCGCAGGCGCGGCGGAGCCGCGGCCGGCCGGCCACAGGCGCGCCUCGUCGGCAUCCCGGGGCGGGGCCGCCCCGUCUCUUAAGCUCCGCCGGAGGCCGUAAGGAGCCACGAGAGAGCUGCUGAGGUUUGCUGCGUGCGGGCGUGGUCUGCGUUCUGUCGCCCAGUUCUUGCGCCGUUGGGGUUGAAUGGCGGUACGAGGGGCUGUUCUUAACGCGAGGCCUCGGGAUUCUAUGCGACGUUCUCUGUUGUGUCGCUUUGUUUCAGGCCGCAGUGGGAUUUCACGCGGCGAGGAUCAGCCCUAAUCGGCUGUGCGGGGGUUGCAGCGGAACUUUUUCAGCCCGAACAGGCGAGACGGUGGAAACGAUGAGCGUUUCUGAACCACCCUGCGUGUCCUCUUACUUCUCUCGUGGAGACACAGCUGGACAGCUUUCAAAACUGGAAUGCUGUUUUGGAUGAGACGUUAUAUUUUCUUGAGAAGGAGACCAGCAACUAUGCAGCAGCAGCGGCAUUUGGCAAGAGAACCAGGAGAGACGAAGAAUCGCUGGAGCUCUGGGGAGGCUCUCAAAGUAAGCCUCCAUAGGGUACUUAACAUCACAUAGGUCACAAUGCAGAUUCAUGGCAGGAAGUUAUUGGUUAUCAUAGAAGUCAUAUUCUCUGGCUUCGUUGUGAAAUAAUUUGAGUUAAUGCGAAGUGAAUAAAAGUACUCACAGCCACUGAACACUCACUGUCUUCUAGAUGUAUUCCCUCACGCAAACUGAUCCUCUCAGUGAUGGGAAAAGACAGUUUCUCAUUUCUAGACUGUCAUUUUUGUACAAUUUCAGUCACACUCAAAAUGAUAUUCUAAACUAAGUUAGAAGCCUUGAGGGAGACCUACUUAUCUGCUAUCUUUUACUCCCACGGAGACAGACAAGAAGUGUGGUUCUGUUUUUUUCUGGCAGUACAAUCACGGCUAGGGCAAAGCUGAGAGCAAUGUUAUAUUGCUCUGUUUCUUUCCAGCUUAGUGGCUGUGUGUCUGUGAAUGCGUUCAGAUGCUGCGGUGAGUUAGCUGCAGCUAACAGAUGUGCUCCCAUCUGACCUUUCUCUCUGUGCACCUCUUCAUUGGAAACUGAAGCUAGAAAUCUCUGGGCAACAGAAGAAUGAGGAGAUCGCUUACCAGUUCUGUUGUGAGAAAAAAGAGACUUGCCUUGGGAAAAUUAACUGGCUAUCAAUUAAAAGAAAAAUUACUGAUUUGACUGAUAAGAAAUAAUAAUAAUAAUAAUAGUGAGCUUUGGGAAAACAAUUUUUUUUUUUUUUCUCCCCCUUUCCCAUGCUUGAUAGUAAAAAAGGUCCUCUGAGGACCUUUCUAUUAUUGACACAGUUUACACUCAGACCCUUCUGUGAUGGAGCAGGCAGUGAAAGAUUACGUCCCAGAUUCUUUCAGCUGUUCUUUCCCUUGACAUGCAGAAUCAAACUCCGUAACCCAAGUAAGAUUACAAAGCAGGUACUGUUUAUUCA